rnacentral:rRNA from 1 species
AAACCAACAGGGAUNGCNUUAGUAACGGCGAAUGAAGCGGCAACAGCUCAAAUUUGAAAGCUGGCUCCUUUGGAGUCCGCGUUGUAAUUUGUAGAGGAUGAUUCGGCAAGGGCUCCCGCCUAAGUCUCCUGGAACGGAGCGUCAUAGAGGGUGAGAAUCCCGUAUGCGGUGGGCUGCCUAAGCCAUGUGAAUCUCCUUCGACGAGUCGAGUUGUUUGGGAAUGCAGCUCUAAAUGGGAGGUAAAUUUCUUCUAAAGCUAAAUACCGGCCAGAGACCGAUAGCGCACAAGUAGAGUGAUCGAAAGAUGAAAAGCACUUUGGAAAGAGAGUUAAAAAGUACGUGAAAUUGUUGAAAGGGAAGCGCUUGCAGCCAGACUUGUCCGCAGUUGCUCAGCCGGUNUCCUGACCGGUGUACUCUUCUGCGGCCAGGCCAGCAUCAGUUCGGGCGGUCGGAUAAAGACCUCGGGAAUGUAGCUCCUCUCGGGGAGUGUUAUAGCCCGGGGUGGAAUGCGGCCAGCCUGGACUGAGGAUCUCGCUUCGGCUAGGAUGCUGGCGUAAUGGCUGUAAGCGGC